AGAUGCAGCCCAGCUCUCUAGGUCCAGUGCCUUCUUCAUCAUGUGCUCACAGUGCUCACCGAUCUUCUGAUGUAGCUUCCACCCCCUCCCCAGCUCUCCGGCAGACGCAAACCACCCUCAGAACUCCACCCGGGACAUCACCCAGAAGGUUCAAGGCUUGCUUUGGAGACAAAUCACUGAGGUCCAUGGCAGGUAUAGAGUGGAGUUCAAAUCUGCUCUUUGAGAAGAGAAGCCCAGAAGAGAGUGGAUUCUUGAAGCCCCAUGGAGGGCUAGCUACAUUUUACCUGGAGACAAGAUAAUCUGAGGGGCGAAGCCAGUGAUGCAGAGCACCAAGACUCAGAAGAUGAAUAUUGUGCCUGCUUUGGCGAGACAUGGUUCAGACUCAGAAGGAGUAUGUAACGAUAAUAAAGAGAAGAUAUGAUGAUAUCAGAGAGUUCUGUAUUAUGUGCAACACAGAAUGUAAAGAAGAUGAAACAGAAAACAGACCUGAGGCUUCCAGGCUGUCCACGCCUCUGUGCUAACAAGUUAGAUGAGUACUGACUGGCAUGAAAGAGUUCUCCAUGAGGCCAUCUAAGCAAAGAAUACUGAACAGGACAAGCGUUUCUGAGCAGAAACCAGACACGACUAUCUGAUGAUUCUAAAGAGGGCAGGGGUCCCUUUACAUCAGACCCGUCAGAUGCAAAGUAAGAGUGAGUAGGUGAGUCUGUGUGAGAGGACUCUGUGUCACUUUAGAAAGUCCGAGUUUAUUUGCUCCAUGCAUAGUGUCAAACAGGUGGUUGUAGAUCUGUUCUUUUGUUUAGGAAGAAUGACUAUUGUAGGAGGACACAGGGCAAGGUUGGGGACAGGGAGAGCAUAGGAGUCAACUGAAGAGGUGAAAUCACCGUUUUGACCUGAGGAUGGGCAGAUAAAGAUGUAUUCAUUCACUUAGCUAGACCUGUGUACAGCCUGAUUAGACUCAGAUCAAAUGGGAGCUCGUGGCAGAGCCACAUGGGAUGUGUGCCUCAUGUUUCCACAUUUCCACUGAGUCACAUUCAGAAUUUGUGAUGUGCAAUUCCACUCGAAGGCUGUAGAUCUGAAACCUACAGGAGUGGGCCUGGAUAUGAGCAGCACCUGCAGUCACUGUAAUGUCUGCCCAGAUGGUGUUGCUCAUGGGUUGCUCGGAACAGAGUCAGCUCCCCAGUGCCCCAGUGCCCCAGUGCAGGAAUGCCCAGGCAGAGAGUAGUAGGAAGGCUCCAGUCUAGGACAGAGUUUAGACUUUAUGGUUUUAGAGCCCCUUGCCCAUUUGUGAUGUGGCAUGAAUCUGUACAUCCAUCACAGCUACAUUUAGCCACUGAUAACCAUGGGGAGGGCCCAGAAGAGUUAAAAUGUUUGCUUUCCUGAAGCUUGCCUUGUGCAAAUGGCAAAGCCACACAGCAGCUGACAGACUCCUGUGCAGCACGUGUCAGUACUGUGGGAAUCGCAUACUAAUCUGCUUGUCACGUGUGGUGGCCAGCUCUUCCCAUGUGCUGAAUUUUAUUAAAUUAUCCAAAAAGCCUGACACAGAAAUGUCUUUGUGCUUUUAAAGUCAGUUAGUGGUUUGUUUUGUUUUUAAGAGAAAGUGGCCUUUAGAGAUAAGGGAAGUAUAUUUUGGUCAAAAUUUACUGUCAUUUAAAAGCUGUUACAAAACAGGGAUAAUUAGAGAAGCUGGUGGCGGUUAAUUAAACUGUGUGAGCGAAUGCUAUGUCAUCCCAGUUCUCAGCACAGAACCCUCUCGGCUUAGGAUGGUUGCUGGUAGGAGGAGAAGAAAGCCCAGUUAUUCGGAAAGAGAAUUUUCAGAUUCUGGAUUUAUGUUAAAAAGAGACACUUUUUGAAACUCUGUGUAAAUGGCAUCACAUCUGGUACCAGAUAUUCCAGAGUCAGGGUCCAGGGACCCACAGAUUAAAAGGAAGCCUGGGCCCUCUCGUGUCUAGAAUAGAUGACCAAAAGGAAUAUGGGUGUGUUUGCACAGAAUCUCACUUACAAGAGAUCAGAGGGUUUUUCAAAGCGCUUCUUGAGCGUUUUCCUGGCACUUCUCUUGGCAGUGGCACUAGGUUGUAGUGGUUCUGGAACUUGUUUUGUUGACUUCUGCACAUCAUCUGGAGCACAGGGCAUGUGUGACACGAGUGGAGACACAGUCCCAGUCGGGACAUUGCCACCUUUUAAGCUUUUGGCACAGUAGCCAUUCCGAGUGCCUCAUGUUCUUGUAUUGACCAGCCUGUCUUCUUGGAAAUUAUCAUCUCACCUUGGUUCUUUGAAGUGAACUUGUUAAAUGCCCACAUUCUGAGAUGUCGUCUAUCACAUUGGGAAGGAAAGACAAAAAGACAUCCUUUAAAAACUCGCAUGGAUGGAGAAAAAUUUCCGAGUCACAAAAUGAUUUGACAUGUUAAGUAAAACAAGCUCUGAAAUUGUGUUUCCAGUCACACUAAUGAAAAUGAGCCCUUCUCUGGACUUCCUUAGCUGUUACAGCUAACAUAAAAUAGACUUCAUAAUAAAAGAUGAUACUGUCCAAGGGCAUUUCGGUUGGCUUGCUUCUCUUUCUACAGAGAGCCUAGAGCCACAGGCUCUGGUCCCUGCUCCAUGUCCUGGGCCCACAUCAUAUCUCAUGCUCCUCUUGAGUUCUGGUCAGAGGUCACAUCCCAGAGGUCACAUUCCUCUUGCCUCAGGGAUAAUUGCACAAGUAAUUGUUAGAAAUACUAUCUCAUGGCCUUUCAAAGGUGUCUAUGCCACAUGCACCUGAAGUUAGCAGACAUUAUGGACUUUGAUGGGGUGUUUAUGUCUGUCUUUAAUGGAAAUGGAAGCUCCUGUGUUUUGUUUCAGUAAUUCCCGUCAAACUCCAGUGUGUGUACUAAGUCUGCCUUCCCUCCCACUGUUCAGUCUCCUUGAAUGGAGAACAUGGAAUAAAUAGACCUUUUUCUUCU
rnacentral:lncRNA from 1 species